CACGUGUAAUAUUUCCGAUCUCAUUAAAGUUGGUAACAAAUAAAUAUGUGGAAAUUACAAUUAUUCUUUGUAGAUGUUGCAAAUGGCAUUGGCAGGCAGAUUUCACGGAGUAAACAAAAAAAUUGCCAGAGAACAAUGAGCUUACCAGGCAGCAUUAGGAUCAUCAUCUUGUUUACACAUUGGAGAGUUUGGUAGACGGGAGUUGCAGACCAGGCAAAGUAACCUCCGGGGCGAAGAACACGAUUCAGUUCCAGGAGAAGAGCACCACCUUCAUUGCAAAUUUAAGCUUAAUUAAGGAAUUCAUUCAAAGGCAAAGUCAAAAUGAAUGUAUAAAUAGUUCUAAAAUAUAUAUUAUUUCUAGGAAACACCUUCCUCA